GGGCAUUCAGAAGGCUUGCUCUCUGGGCUACAAGCAGAGAACCUAGUUUCUCCCUCUAUCCGCCCAGGGGAAAGUCCCCGGACUCGUGGCAGAAAGUGCCCUGGGUAAUUCCAGCGUCGAUCAGCGCCUCACCGUUGUAGCUGAGACGUUCAUGAGAACUGAGCUUGGUAGUCGCUGGUCGACAUUGUCAGCGUUAAUAGUAAUGCAAGCAGUUACUGACGCGUGAACAGAACGGGGCUCAUUCUCGGAAUGCA
rnacentral:RNase_MRP_RNA from 1 species